GGUUAAAAAGCUCGUAGUUGGAUUUCUGCCGAAGGCGGCCGAUCCGCACUAUGUGCGUGCAUCUGGUUCGGUUUUGGCAUCCUCUUGGGGAUCGUUUCUGUGCUUGAUUGCAUGGGGCGAGAUUCAAGACUUUUACUUUGAGGAAAUUAGAGUGUUCACGGCAAGCUAUCGCUUUGAAUACAUUAGCAUGGAAUAAUAAUAUAGGGCGUAAGUCUUAUUUUGUUGGUUUCUAGGACAUACGCAAUGAUUAAUAGGGACAAUUGGGGGCAUUCAUAUUAACGCGUCAGAGGUGGAAUUCUUAGAUUGCGUUACGACGAACUACUGCGAAAGCAUUUGCCAAGGAUGUUUUCAUUGAUCAAGAACGAAAGUAUGGGGAUCGAAGACGAUUAGAUACCGUCGUAGUCUAUACCAUAAACUAUGCCAAUUAGAGAUUGGGCGUCGUUCGUUUAUGACUCGCUCAGCACCUUAUGAGAAAUCAAAAUUUUUGGGUUCCGGGGGGAGUAUGGUCGCAAAGCUGAAACUUAAAGGAAUUGACGGAAGGGCACCACCAGGAGUGGAGCCUGCGGCUUAAUUUGACUCAACACGGGAAAACUUACCAGGUCCAGACAUAGUAAGGAUUGACAGAUUGAUAGCUCUU
rnacentral:rRNA from 1 species